GAUGAACGCUGGCGGCGUGCCUAAUACAUGCAAGUCGAGCGAAUGGAUUAAGAGCUUGCUCUUAUGAAGUUAGCGGCGGACGGGUGAGUAACACGUGGGUAACCUGCCCAUAAGACUGGGAUAACUCCGGGAAAACGGGGCUAAUACCGGAUAACAUUUUGAACCGCAUGGUUCGAAAUUGAAAGGCGGCUUCGGCUGUCACUUAUGGAUGGACCCGCGUCGCAUUAACUAGUUGGUGAGGUAACGGCUCACCAAGGCAACGAUGCGUAGCCGACCUGAGAGGGUGGUCGGCCACACUAGGACUGGGACACGGCCCAGACUCCUGCGGGAGGCAGCAGUAGGGACUCUUCCGCAAUGGACGAAAGUCUGACGGAGCAACGCCGCGUGAGUGAUGAAGGCUUUCGGGUCGUAAAACUCUGUUGUUAGGGAAGAACAAGUGCUAGUUGAAUAAGCUGGCACCUUGACGGUACCUAACCAGAAAGCCACGGCUAACUACGUGCCAGCCGCCGCAGUAA
rnacentral:rRNA from 1 species